CUUCGGCCCGUAAACCCCUGUCAUUCGGGAGCAAUGCGUUUGGGUGAACAUCCCAAACGUUGAUAGUACCGGAAGAGGAAGGGACGGCUAACUCUGUGC
rnacentral:rRNA from 1 species